CAUUCACGGAGAGUUUGAUCCUGGCUCAGGACGAACGCUGGCGGCGUGCUUAACACAUGCAAGUCGAACGAUGAACCGCUUUCGGGCGGGGAUUAGUGGCGAACGGGUGAGUAACACGUGGGCAAUCUGCCCUGCACUCUGGGACAAGCCCUGGAAACGGGGUCUAAUACCGGAUAUGACUGUUCAUCGCAUGGUGGAUGGUGUAAAGCUCCGGCGGUGCAGGAUGAGCCCGCGGCCUAUCAGCUUGUUGGUGAGGUAGUGGCUCACCAAGGCGACGACGGGUAGCCGGCCUGAGAGGGCGACCGGCCACACUGGGACUGAGACACGGCCCAGACUCCUACGGGAGGCAGCAGUGGGGAAUAUUGCACAAUGGGCGAAAGCCUGAUGCAGCGACGCCGCGUGAGGGAUGACGGCCUUCGGGUUGUAAACCUCUUUCAGCAGGGAAGAAGCGAAAGUGACGGUACCUGCAGAAGAAGCGCCGGCUAACUACGUGCCAGCAGCCGCGGUAAUACGUAGGGCGCAAGCGUUGUCCGGAAUUAUUGGGCGUAAAGAGCUCGUAGGCGGCUUGUCACGUCGGUUGUGAAAGCCCGGGGCUUAACCCCGGGUCUGCAGUCGAUACGGGCAGGCUAGAGUUCGGUAGGGGAGAUCGGAAUUCCUGGUGUAGCGGUGAAAUGCGCAGAUAUCAGGAGGAACACCGGUGGCGAAGGCGGAUCUCUGGGCCGAUACUGACGCUGAGGAGCGAAAGCGUGGGGAGCGAACAGGAUUAGAUACCCUGGUAGUCCACGCCGUAAACGGUGGGCACUAGGUGUGGGCAACAUUCCACGUUGUCCGUGCCGCAGCUAACGCAUUAAGUGCCCCGCCUGG
rnacentral:rRNA from 1 species